rnacentral:ncRNA from 1 species
UCAAAGGCUUAGAAAGACUCAGUAGAAGGCGGAAUCCCGUCGCUCAGAGAAUCGGUGGUUGCUGCGAACCGAAUGGGCGGAUCCCUUUUGAAUUACCGUCUGGAGCCGUCCGGGGGAACGCGCGUAGAAUGCGCCAGUAGUCCGGUACCGGGAAAUCCCGUUAUGUGAAUGAAGUGAAAACCGUCAUCGGUUCGUCUGGCAAUCCGCCGCAGGAUCCGCAAACGGUUUUAAUUAGGGUGGUAACGCGAGUGCUCCUUCUCGUCCCUUGG